UACGAAGGGGGCUAGCGUUGCUCGGAAUCACUGGGCGUAAAGCGCACGUAGGCGGAUCUUUAAGUCAGGGGGGAAAUCCCGGGGCUCAACCCCGGAACUGCCUUUGAUACUGGCAUUCUCGAGUCCGGAAGAGGUGAGUGGAAUUCCGAGUGUAGAGGUGAAAUUCGUAGAUAUUCGGAGGAACACCAGUGGCGAAGGCGGCUCACUGGUCCGGUACUGACGCUGAGGUGCGAAAGCGUGGGGAGCAAACAGG
rnacentral:rRNA from 1 species